UACGAAGGGGGCUAGCGUUGUUCGGAAUUACUGGGCGUAAAGCGCACGUAGGUGGCUUUGCAAGUUAGAGGUGAAAGCCCGGGGCUCAACUCCGGAAUUGCCUUUAAAACUGCAUCGCUAGAAUUGUGGAGAGGUAAGUGGAAUUCCGAGUGUAGAGGUGAAAUUCGUAGAUAUUCGGAAGAACACCAGUGGCGAAGGCGACUUACUGGACACAUAUUGACGCUGAGGUGCGAAAGCGUGGGGAGCAAACAGG
rnacentral:rRNA from 1 species